CCUACGGGGGGCAGCAGUGAGGAAUAUUGGUCAAUGGACGAGAGUCUGAACCAGCCAAGUAGCGUGAAGGAUGACUGCCCUAUGGGUUGUAAACUUCUUUUAUAUGGGAAUAAAAUGUUCCACGUGUGGGAUUUUGUAUGUACCAUAUGAAUAAGGAUCGGCUAACUCCGUGCCAGCAGCCGCGGUAAUACGGAGGAUCCGAGCGUUAUCCGGAUUGAUUGGGUUUAAAGGGAGCGUAGGUGGAUUGUUAAGUCAGUUGUGAAAGUUUGCGGCUCAACCGUAAAAUUGCAGUUGAAACUGGCAGUCUUGAGUACAGUAGAGGUGGGCGGAAUUCGUGGUGUAGCGGUGAAAUGCUUAGAUAUCACGAAGAACUCCGAUUGCGAAGGCAGCUCACUGGACUGCAACUGACACUGAGGCUCGAAAGUGUGGGUAUCAAACAGGAUUAGAUACCCGGGUAGUC
rnacentral:rRNA from 1 species